rnacentral:rRNA from 1 species
AACGAACGCUGGCGGCGUGCCUAACACAUGCAAGUCGAGCGAGAAAGUUCCCUUCGGGGAGCGAGUAAAGCGGCGAACGGGUGAGUAACACGUAGGUAACCUACCCUCGAGUCCGGGAUAACCUGUCGAAAGACGGGCUAAUACUGGAUACGACUGCGGGAGCGUCAGCUCCUGCGGCGAAAGGUGGCCUCUGCUUGAUAGUGGCAUCCCCUCACGGCGGGGCCCGCGGCCUAUCAGCUAGUUGGUGCGGUAACGGCGCACCAAGGCGAAGACGGGUAGCUGGUCUGAGAGGAUGGCCAGCCACACGGGGACUGAGACACGGCCCCGACUCCUACGGGAGGCAGCAGUGGGGAAUAUUGGGCAAUGGGCGCAAGCCUGACCCAGCGACGCCGCGUGGGUGAUGAGGGCCUUCGGGUCGUAAAGCCCUGUCGGGUGGAAAGAAUGACUGUGGGGCGAAUAGCCCCAGAGUGUGACGGUACCACCGAAGGAAGCACCGGCCAAUUCCGUGCCAGCCGCCGCGGUAA